AUAUUCAUGGCCUAGGUUAGUGACCUCCAUUGCACUCAGGAGGGGCGCUCGCCUCAGAUAUCUCCAAGUUGGAUAGUCUACGUCAUAAUUUGUUGCUGAGGGGGUACGCGUUCGCAAGUCCCCUAC